rnacentral:rRNA from 1 species
GAUGAACGCUGGCGGCGUGCCUAAUACAUGCAAGUCGAGCGAACGGACGAGAAGCUUGCUUCUCUGAUGUUAGCGGCGGACGGGUGAGUAACACGUGGAUAACCUACCUAUAAGACUGGGAUAACUUCGGGAAACCGGAGCUAAUACCGGAUGAUAUUUUGAACCGCAUGGUUCAAAAGUGAAAGACGGUCUUGCUGUCACUUAUAGAUGGAUCCGCGCUGCAUUAGCUAGUUGGUAAGGUAACGGCUUACCAAGGCAACGAUGCAUAGCCGACCUGAGAGGGUGAUCCGCCACACUGGAACUGAGACACGGUCCAGACUCCUACGGGAGGCAGCGGUAGGGAAUCUUCCGCGAUGGGCGAAAGCCUGACGGAGCAACGCCGCGUGAGUGAUGAAGGUCUUCGGAUCGUAAAACUCUGUUAUUAGGGAAGAACAUAUGUGUAAGUAACUGUGCACAUCUUGACGGUACCUAAUCAGAAAGCCACGGCUAACUACGUG